GUGGACUGACUGAUGAAUACAGAUUGCUCCUGACUCCCAGAGAACCAAGCCAUGACAUCAAAACCUGACUAUGCCAGCACACAGGAACUAUGCCUGAAAGGCACUGAACAACUUCUACAGACUCUUAAGAACCAUGCAUCAGCAAGAAGGCCCAGUUUUGCAAAAAGGAGGUGCAAUAUUUGAGCUACAUCCUAAGAGGAGAAUUUCCUUCCAGAUCUCUGCUGCCCAACCCAGCUUGGAGACACCAGUUCAUGACUGUGUGGAACUUGGAAGCGGACUUCCAAGACACAGCUCUUUUAGUUGCAGAGGUAACCUGGUUCGCUGAUGGCAGCAGCUUCAUGCAGGAUGGUAGUGUCAAAGAAAAAUCAUCUGGGCAGAGGCUUUACUUAUUGAAACAUCAGCUCAACGGACUGAGCCAGUUGCACUAGCAAAGACUCUGACUUUAGGAAAGGACAAAAAGCUAAGUAGCUACACUGGCAGUCAGUAUGUCAGUGGAAGGACAGCUUAUCCUGCCUGCUGAUCUAGGUGAUCAAAUCCUAAUCAAGAUGCACAAUCCACUCACAUGGGCACCUGGAGAAUGCAGGAUCUGAUUCGUCAUGCAGAGCUCAGGUUUCAGGAUUCCACUUCCAACAGUGAUAAAGUCGUGGCCAGCUACAAGCCUGUUAGCUCACUAAUGCAGCGAAGAACAGCACAACUCAAGGGGCACAGCUGUGAGGCACCCAACCCAGUGGGUUUUGGGGAAGUCAAUUUCACUGAGGUUAAGCCCGGAAAAUACAGGUACAGGUGUUUGUAGGCACCUUUCCAGGUUGGACUGAAGUGUUUCCUACCAAACAUGAGACUGUUCCGACAGUGGCAGAGAAAUUCCUUGAAGGCAUCCUACCACAGAUGACAGGGUCAGAUAAUGGACCAGGGUUCCUUUUGGGCAUGCUCUGUCCUUUACAUGUUGUCCUGGGUCAGGUGUUCUUAGUAUUUUUCUCUGACCUAUAUUAAAAUUAUUAUGUCUCCCCCCCUCCCUAGUCUCUUUUCAGAGAGUCACUCUCAGGACAUACUUUAAUAGGCCCGAGCAAAGGUGCGGUGGUUUCAGUCAGUUUGAGAUAGACAAAGGUUGCCUCUUAGGCAACUGUUGUCAUCUGGGGCCACAGCAAAAGGGUUGUCUGUAGCAUGAUUAGCAAGAGUGUUCUGCAGGGGUCUAGCUCAUGGUAGGGGUGCCUGUACUGCUUAGCUUGGUGACUUCUGAAACUGCUUCAAAAGCUCUCAUUUGGGCCCUCCCUGGGUUUCAUCACCUCUCCUGAGGGGAGACAUGCCAUUUAGGCACAAUAGUCUUUCUGUGUUAGUAACAGACUUUAACAUUAGCAAGAGAAGUUACAUCUCAAACCCUGGGCCAGUGGGUGGUUCUUAUUAAGCUCCUACACACUUAAACAAAAUGAAAUAAUAAGAACAGCUAUUGUAAGUGAAAGGAUUAAUAUCAACUCAGGACCUCUAAGACCAAGUGCUCAGGACAAUGCCGAUUUAUUUGAUAUAUAUAAUUUAUAAAUAGUAUGGAUAAGGGACAAAGGCAGGAAAUAUAGAGGAUGAGGGAGAAGGGGAAGGUCACACUGGAAAGAGGGCAGGGAUAUUUGUCCCAGAGGACAAAGGCCUGCCUCUGGAUAGAGAGAAGACUGACAUGGCCCAUAGGCAAAUCGCAGUUUAUAAAGGCAAAAGGAGAAAACCCAUGUUAGGAUAAGGUGUUUAAUUUUAAUUGGGAAUGCUAAUUAGGUGAACCAACGGGGCUUUUAAUUGCUGGACUUCAAGACUUUGAUACCUGUACCUUGGUGGUCAGCCUCAAGAAGAGGAACUGGACAAGUAAGGGAAUAGAACUUCUGGGAUGGCUUAAGAAAUGCUCUUUGGCAAGGCAGAGGAGACUGGGGAGAAGGGCAGGGCUUGUCUGAACCAUGUUUGCCAGGCCUGGGCUGUCUAGAGUCUGUUGUGUUUUAUAAAAAUAGAGAGAAAGAAUAUGUUUGGUGGAGAUUCAGUAAGGUGUGGAGGAAGCAGGUGCCUCUGUAGGCCCAUGGUGAGGCAUCCCUUACCCCUAAGGGAACAGCCACAUGACAACAGUAUAGUAUAGAGUUUGUUUAUUCAGGGCAUA